GUCUGGGAGGGAUGGCAGCCUUGAUGGCUUGUGCGGUCCGGUAGCCUGCUACGGAAGCAUAUGCAUGGGCUAGGUGUGCUUAUAACUGGAGCAAAAGCAAUGGCUUGCCCAAGGUCAGCUGGUAAAUCAGGAUGGAAGUCAGGGCAAGGCGCCAAAUAUCCAAUUUCCUAUGUGGGAGCUGCUUUCGCAAUAUCAUAUUCCUGCUAGUGGAGCCGUGAGAUCGCAAGGAAAUUGCUAGCUUUAGUCAAGGAAGACUCCUUAGCUUCAGAAGCUGUUUACAGCCAGCCUCUUAAUCCAGCGAUGACGUCUUCCCGAGGCUACAGGACACUCCUGCGUCCGUUGCCAGGGCAACCACCGCGCACACCCCCACCCACCCUCCAGCAUGCCUCACUUGCAUCACCUACCCGCAUCGUCACCUCAGUUUACCUACCUCUCAGAUAAAAGACAUGGACCCCAACCCAUCUCUCUCUUUUUCUCUUCCUUGCUUCUCUUUCAAUAAAGGACCUCUCUGGUGAGA